GGGGGUGUAGCUCAGUGGCAGAGCAUUUACCUAGUGUGCACAAGGCUCUGGGUUCAUCUCCAGCAUCACAG
rnacentral:tRNA from 1 species